rnacentral:lncRNA from 12 species
CAGGCUGGAACUCCCCUAAGAGCUCUCAAAUAUCCAUGGAUACCAUCAACACUGCAUUGAUGUGGAACAAUCCAGUGGAGUCUAAACAUUCCUCUCCUCAGAUCUUAUCAUUAAGAGAAAGUUUGACAAAGAGGAAUACAAUUUUAUUAGAUUUUUAGAAUUUAUCUUUCUCUACUAUGUAGAAAUACAUGUGUGAUACGGAAGCUCAAAAGAGAACUUUUCAGUUUCAGACAGCAGCAGAGAGAGAUGCAGAGAUAUUGCAGAGAUGCUCACUUCAGUUUUUUUGGCAAAGAACAACAGGCCCCUCCCACGACAGUUUGAUUGACACUAGCGUUUCAGCACAGACUGGACUGGCGUUUUACCUUAGACCCACCCUGAGUGAGCUGUCAUCAGUCCACCAUUGUUUCACCGCCGGAGCAGAUGUAGACAAGAAUGUCUUCUAA